rnacentral:rRNA from 1 species
GGAAUAUUGCGCAAUGGAGGCAACUCUGACGCAGCCAUGCCGCGUGCAGGAAGAAGGCGCUACGCGUUGUAAACUGCUUUUACCAGGGAAGAAACCCCUCGACGUGUCGAGGGUUGACGGUACCUGAGGAAUAAGCACCGGCUAACUCCGUGCCAGCAGCCGCGGUAAUACGGAGGGUGCAAGCGUUAUCCGGAUUCAUUGGGUUUAAAGGGUGCGUAGGCGGAACGUUAAGUCAGUGGUGAAAUCCUGCAGCUCAACUGUAGAAUUGCCAUUGAUACUGGCGUUCUUGAGUGCGAUUGAAGUAGGCGGAAUGUGUCGUGUAGCGGUGAAAUGCUUAGAUAUGACACAGAACACCGAUUGCGAAGGCAGCUUACUAAGGCGAUACUGACGCUGAGGCACGAAAGCGUGGGGAUCAAAC